rnacentral:piRNA from 2 species
UACAUAAAGUCUUUGGGAAGUUUCUGAUU